AAGAUCGAUGAUGACCACUGGUGGCCUAUGAUUCUUGGAUUGUGACUACCUCUGGAAGUCAGAGGUCCGU
ensembl:snoRNA